UACGUAGGGGGCGAGCGUUGUCCGGAUUUAUUGGGCGUAAAGAGCGUGUAGGCGGUUCGGUAAGUCUGUCGUGAAACCCUGAGGCUCAACCUCGGGCGUGCGAUGGAUACUGCCGGGCUAGAGGGUGGUAGAGGCGAGUGGAAUUCCCGGUGUAGCGGUGAAAUGCGCAGAUAUCGGGAGGAACACCAGUAGCGAAGGCGGCUCGCUGGGCCACACCUGACGCUGAGACGCGAAAGCUAGGGGGGCGAACAGG
rnacentral:rRNA from 1 species